rnacentral:misc_RNA from 1 species
UGGUUCUCGCAUCGAUGAAGAACGCAGCGAAAUGCGAUAAGUAAUGUGAAUUGCAGAAUUCAGUGAAUCAUCGAAUCUUUGAACGCACAUUGCGCCCCAUGGUAUUCCGUAGGGCACGUCUGUCUGAACGUCAUUAUAAACUCAGGCCCAGCCUGGUGAUGGGGGCGGCGGGUAGCCGUUCCUGCAAACCGUCGGCGGAGGCCGCCGUGGGCCGAUACGAUGAACAUCUUUGUCGGAUCCCCCGGUGGGCAGCCUGCCUAACGAACAAACCCUAGAGAUUGACUUCAGGUCAGACGAGGUUACCCGCUGA